GUUUUUAUUCAUAUCUUUAGUGCAAUAACUAUCGUUUCCAAUGUUUUCAUUUAACGAAUAAACAAUGUGUACUAGUAUAUGUAACAUACAAGAACUGUUCGUCAUUAAAAAAAAGUUAUAUGGAUAGUAAGGGAUCGAUCUUCGGUCAUAGUCGAUUUAUUGGUCGACUCAUCGACUAUUGCUGCAGAAUAGGUGGAUACAGUCUUGACGAUAUGGAUGGAGGCAUACAGAAGUUUUGAACAGUUCAAUGAUUAAACUGGUAUAAGUUUAUUUUUCCAAGACAGGUCAGUUUAUUGUACAUCUUUUAAUUUCUGAAGGC
rnacentral:lncRNA from 1 species